GCUUUUAGCUGUUCCUUACAAUGAGAUCAGAAAUCCGGCGUGUUACUUCGUCUUGAUGAUGCUAGUACAGAUGUGUGAGGAUUGACAUAUACAGGUCCACACUUGCUGCGUGCCUCAUCUCUGUUUUAAAGAAGAGGUAACAUCUUUGG